ensembl:lncRNA CRNDE colorectal neoplasia differentially expressed
GUCCGGGACACGGCUUUCCGGAGUAGAGCCCUUGGAGGUGUUAAGUGUGAUGCUUCCAUAAUACAUUUGGAUGCUGUCAGCUAAGUUCACUUCUGAACUAAGGGGUUCCUCCAAAUGUUGGCUGAAAUUCAUCCCAAGGCUGGUCUGCAAGUGAGUGUCUGCACACAGUUUGCUUGUAUGUGGAGUCGAUCCAAAAUAGCAUCAAUGUUGGUUUUACCAAAGUAUUUAUUAUUGAUAAUAGAGGCUAAGUACAAAAUGUAGAGAAUGUCAGCUACUUGAGGCCUUUGAUUAUUAAAAAUUUUAUUAAUGCAUUAAACAAGAGUACAGUAAAUAGAUAAAUUUUAGGUUCAUGAAAUAAAACUGAAUAAUUUAUUUUUACUUACUAUUUAUCAUGGAAUUACUUUGAAUAAUUUAUUUUUAAUGGUAUAAUUGGACAGUAAAAUUUAUAAACUCAGUGCUUUUCAUAAAAAUCAAAGUGAAGUUUGUAAUAUUUUAUACAAAUAGAAUUAUUAUUUAAGAGAAAUAACCUGUUUAUGCCUAAUUACAGUUUUUAAUCAUUUCAGUUACCUAUUUCUUUUAAGAAUAAAUUUAGUGGGAAUAUCAGUUCCAGUCAUGGGUACCAAACUUUUUUAGUGACAGAGUACACACAGGUAUGUAAAACUUGUCAUUUCUCAUCAAAUAGAGGCUGCUGAAUAUAGGCAGGUAAGAAAAGCUAUGAGAAAGAAUUGUUUUGCAGAAUAUUUGUCUAGUUGUCAGAGCAAGGAACUGAAUUUAUUGACACAGAACAUUUUAUUAAGUAAAAAAAAUGGUUCUUAUAACAAAAAAAAAAGCUAAUUUUACAGAAGGCAGUAGUUAAUAUAGCCGCCAAUAAAAUAAAUGUUUCUCUGAAUACUUUCCGAGGCAUUACAGUGAUUUUUAACUAAUAUGAAGUGAUAUAUAAUAAUUUUAAAGUAACAUCCUUGAGUUUUCCUAUUAUUAAUUGCUUAUGGAAAUUGGGUUUCACGUAUGACUGAGAGCUAAAGCAUUACAGUGAGUUAGAAAACACAACACAAAUGUAAAGAAAAUGUUAGGUGGUGAGUAAUCUGAUUCCUUUUUGUUUGCCUUUAAGCUUAGUUUUUUGUUUUGUUUUACUUUGUUUUAAACCAUGUAUAAAAUUGUUGAAUUUAAAAGAUAAGAGGAUUAAGUAAUUUCUUUUUUCCUCCUAAGGAUAAAUGUAGGAAAAAUCUAAACACAUAGGCAGAUUGGUUGAGUUUUAUAUCUGUUAUCGGCCACAUUUAUUAAGAUUCAUAUUUCAUGUAUAUUAGAGGUAUUCACAUGUAUUAAAAUUCUUAUAUUCCUUCUAUAUAAAAUAGAUGUAGGGGGUUCCCACUCUUGAAAAUAUGAAGAAAAGAUGUCCUUUCAGCAAUAAUGGGUUAUGGUUGAUUAACUGAGAAGGUUGUAUUAAACGUUCUCUAGUAGAAAUGGCUAAAGAGCAUGCUUUUUGAGAAGUGUAUCAUCUAGGAAGAAAAUCAAAUGGAGUAUUGGUAAUUAAAUUGUAAUUCCAUGAAGGAAGGAAGUGGUGCAAAAGAUGAAGCUAACUAUUCCUGUUUUUCUUUUUAAGAGUCUGCAAUUCAUAAUGGAGCUACUGUACUGGCUAUUGGAAGGAGGAGAUUCUGAAGAUAAGGAGGAUGCCACUGGAAAUGUUGAAAUGAAAAAUAUUCAGCCGUUGGUCUUUGAAAUUUCCUGUGAUGUGUUUCAAUCUAGAUGCAAAGAACAUGGAAAAAUCAAAGUGCUCGAGUGGUUUAAAUAUGUUUUGGGUAUUCCUGUUUAUAGACUAUAAUACUUUUCCAAUUAAAAUCCUCAGUUGUCACGCAGAAGAAGGUUAAGCUGUAUUUGAUUGCCAGUUUUACUGAAAAUGCUUAGUAUUUUACAGUAUCACCAAAUAUAUUUUGUUUAGCCAAGGUAUAGGAAAAAUAAAAUAAAUUGUAUAGGUUGACUUUU